AAUUCGAUUAACGCGAAGAACCUUACCCGGGCUUGAACUGCCAGCGAACGAUACAGAGAUGUUGAGGCCCUUCGGGCGCUGGUGGAGGUGCUGCAUGGUUGUCGUCAGCUCGUGCCGUGAGGUGUCGGCUUAAGUGCCAUAACGAGCGCAACCCUUUUCAUCAGUUGCCAUCAGGUGAUGCUGGGCACUCUGGUGAUACUGCCACCGUAAGGUGUGAGGAAGGUGGGGAUGACGUCAAAUCAGCACGGCCCUUACGUCCGGGGCUACACACGUGUUACAAUGGGGCAUACAGAGCGACGCAAGACCGCAAGGUGGAGCAAAUCGCAGAGAGUAUGCCUCAGUUCGGAUUGGGGUCUGCAACCCGACCCCAUGAAGUCGGAUUUGCUAGUAACGGCGUAUCAGCUACGACGCCGUGAAUGCGUUCCCGGGUCUUGUACACACCG
rnacentral:rRNA from 1 species